AUGAGUUAUGCAUGCGUGCGCAGAUUCCACUAUGUUCUUCUGGAGAUUAAGCUUGAGCAGGGAGUAGUAAACGUCUUAGACUCGAGACGAAAAGAUCCCCAAACCUAUGCGGACAUGACUAAAAUGCUCAACAAGUUCAAUCGAUCAUUUAUCGCACCAUAUCGGCAACUUUUUGUUCAUUUCCUAAUAUCUCAAGUAAUAAUAAUUAUUUUCUUUGUCUUGCAGUGUUUGGAAACAGUUCACCGCAGAAGUUCCGGGACUGCCAAAGGAGCUGCGAUAUACAUACCCGAAAGUAAGUACUACUAG
rnacentral:rRNA from 1 species